rnacentral:misc_RNA from 1 species
AAAAUAAAAUUCUGAUCAACCAUAACAUGAAUAAUAUAUAUUUACAUCAAUCCCUUUUAUGAAACCCACAUCUAAAUCCCUACUAUUUCUUAAAAAUUUCAAAAUGUGAAGAUAUAUAUGUAUAUAUUCUAAAAUUAAGUACAAAGGCAUUGCAAAAUUAUAAUGUCUCACCCUAGUUUGCUAAACUUCAAUUUCAGCUGCUUUCACAUUUCCGUCUUGUCUACCUUGCUCAUUUGUCCCAUUGAGGCCAUUGCCGUUGCCACUGCUGCUGUCAAAACCACCACUAACUCCUCCUCCGCCACCUCUACUUUUCAUGACACCAAUCUUCACCAAGAGUUCCUCCCCCCAAUCACUCAAGUGCAAAACAAUGUAAGUCCCAAUCCCACCAAUCAACCCAUAAGCAAUAGAAUAAGUCAAAGGCAUUAAAAUCAAUGUAACAAAUGCUGGUAUAGCUUGCCUCAUAUCAUUCCAUUCAAUAUCCACCACUGCCCUCAUCAUCAACACCCCCACUAAGAUCAACGGUGGACCCACUGCCCAAGCUGGAAUAGAUGCUAAUAAUGGCGUAAAGAAAAAUGCUAAGAAAAAAUAUCCAGCCACGGUCAAUGCUGUAAGUCCUGUUCGGCCACCUUCACGUAUGCCGGUCGACGAUUCAAUAUAGGCUGUAACUGGAGAUGUGCCGAGCAAUGAGCCGAUGACAAUUGAUGUAGCAUCUGACAUGAAAGCAAAGUAUUGACCUGGAAAAUUUCCAUUUUGAUCCAAAAAUCCAGCGAAUCUAGCCAUUGAAUACAAGGUACCAGUUGUGUCCAAAAUGUCUACAUAUAAGAACGUGACCAAAGCCUCCCAAAAAUAACCUUUCCCUAUGCUCUUAAAGCUUAGAGCCCCAGCUGUACUUUUUAUUACAUGUACAUCCACCACCUUCUUAAAAUACUCAUGAGCUGAAUUCCCUGCAUCGGUGUUAGGAAACGCCGUUACUCUUGUGUCACGGAACCAUGAAACGGCCGUUACAAAAACAAUUCCAUAAAUAAUUGCCCCUUUAAUAUUCUUCACCAAGCAAUAAGCUAUAAUCACAAAUCCAACUAUUCCAAGCCAUAACGUUGGACUCUCCAUUCUGUCGCGGAGACACAGAAUAUCCCCUGAAACGGUGCCGCCUGCCAUCAAAGCAAUAGUGCCGUUAGCUAGCGUCGUAACUGGAGCUAACGACGCACGUGAGGAUCCCGGGCAGCCUCCGAGCGUGACCAGGGUUGAUGGACUGUACCCAACUAAUCCGAGUCCUUGGUUGUUUUGUAAGCCGAUAAAAGCGAGGAAAAGACCAAUACCGGCGGAGGAGCUGAUCCGAACCGGUUUUGGGACGAGUUUCGCGAGUUGUGCUCGUAACCCAAUUGCAGAUAUGGCUAAAAAGAUCAAACCUUCUAUGAAAACAGCAGCUAAUGCGCUCUCGUAGGAAACAUUACCCGACCCGUGAAACCCGACAACUGUGUAAGCGAAAUAAGCAUUCGUACCCAUACCCGGAGCCAACGCCAGAGGAAGAUUAGCGAAAGCACCCAUUAUCACACACCCAAUGAGGGACGAAACUACAGUGGCUACUAUUAGGUCUUUACGUAUUUUCUCUAAACAAGCAGCGUAGCCUGGAUUAAUCGGGUCAAACUUGCAAGAAUCGUCGGGCUGAAUGAUUCGGAGGGAUGACCCAGUACAGUUUGAAACUGGGAUGGUUGGGUCGGAGCAGAGGGGGACACAGUCAGAGACAGAGCAGGGACCUCCACUGUCGGUAAGGAUGGAGGCGUUGACAGCGAGGAUGUAAGCCAUGGUGAGGAAAGUGGCGGUGCCAGCACGUAACUCAGUGGUGAAGGUUGAGUUUCGCUCGGCGAGUUUGAAUCGCUUGCCAAGUCGAGAAUUGGCGACGAAGGUGUUUAGCCUAGUUAGAGGCUUUUGUUUGGGUGGAGGAGAUCCAGCUUCCAUGUCCAUGACCAUCAAAGACUGAAACUUUCUAUUAAUGGGUGUCUUUCUCUAAAUUCGCAUGUAUAUAUAACAGAGACACAGACAGAGAGAGAAGGGGAGAGGAGAUUUGUUGGUCGAAGGAAAACAAUGUUAAUGCUG